CGUGAGUGAAAGGUUUUCUGAUCGUAAGCUCUGUUGUUAGGGAAGAACAAGUACGAGAGUAACUGCGCGUACCUUGACGGUACCUAACCAGAAAGCCACGGCUAACUCCCUGGCAGCAGCCGCGGUAAUACAUAAGGGGCGAACGUUGAUCGGAAUUAGUGGGCCUAAAGCGCGCGCAAGCGGCUUGUUUAGCCCGAUGUGAAAACCCCAGGCUCAACCGGGGAAGGGCAUUCGAAACUGGGGGACUUGAAUGCGAGAAAGGAAAGUGGAAUUCCCCGUGGAGCGGUGAAAUGCGUAAAUAUGAGGAAGAACACCGGUGGCGAAGGCGACCCUCUGGACUGUAACUAACGCUGAGGAGCGAAAGCGUGGGGAGCCAACACGAUUAGAUACCCUGGUAGUCCACUCCGUAAACGAUGAGUGCUAGGUGUUAAGGGGUUUCCGCCCCCUAGUGCUGAAGUUAACGCAUUAAGCACUCCCCCUGGGGAGUACGGCCGCAAGGCUGAAACUCAA
rnacentral:rRNA from 1 species